AUGUACUUAGAGGCCCAACCAUCGACAUUCGCCUCAUCACAAUCGCUCUCUCCGUGAAUCACAUUCGAAGAAGAAGAAGAAGAAGAAGAAGGCGAAUACCUUGGCGAUCCAUGGCUGAUUUGGAAGCUGCCUCCGCCCGGCUUCGUCACGUAGAUCGGUUUCGCUCGGUUCUGCGGCUCCUGCAGCCGUCUACUUCCCGGAAUCAGAGGCGUCGCCGCUGAAUUUCCGCCAGAUCUCUCUCUCGUCGCCGAAGUUCCAGCGGUUGUUUCAUUCGCCGUAUUAGCAAAAGAAAUCGAGCUCGAAAGCUUGAUUAAAUUCGCAAGCAACAACAUCGACUUCUCACAAAGCGAUUCACUCGAUCUUCUCUCUUUACCGAUCAUAGCUCCGGCCCUCUAAAUGAUCUCAUAUUCACCGGAGCAGACCAACGCACUCUCGAAUCUCUCCCUCAGAGCACCCAUCCCAUCGACGGUAUCCCUCUUCGGCCAGGUGAUGAUUUUUUUUCUCUCAAAUUUUAUGUGAUGUCACCUUGGUUGAAGAGGAGAACAAACCACCCUUUAUAAGGGUGUGGAAACCUUCCUCUAAUUUUAAAGCCGCGAGGGGAAUUCCGAAUAGAAAAGCCCAAACAGGACAAUAUUUGUUAGAAUCUGGGGCAUUACAUUUUAAAAUAAAUAAUUUUAUGAACAAAAAGUGACAGACUAGGUAUUAUAUUUAUAGUUUUAGCGACCUUUAUAUAUUUGUGUUAUUUAUAUAUUAGAAUACGAGAUGAGUACAAGAAUUACACAAUCUACUAUGAUUAAUUUUUAAUUAAGUUUAAUAACCCAUAGUAUACAUGUCAUGUUUGGAAUGAUAUCUUAGAUAUAUGAUCUUAUUCAAAAUUUAAAAAUCCCAUAUGAAAAGAGAGGAGAGGCAAAUGGGAAAAUGGUCAAAAUUGUAAAUUGGAGCAAAUUGAGAUGCUAUGAUGUUCCCCCGUUGGUUGGGAAGGGGAGGAAUGACCGUUGUUAUUUCAGGUAAUUGGUCAUCAAAGACAACCUGAAUUGCCUCCUAAAAUGUCGCAAAUAUAAAUCCUAAGAAGGCUCAACCCCCUAACUUAGCUCAUAACCUCUUGGUUUGUCGCCUCUCUCUGGGAACACAGACACUCCCCCAAAAGAAAAACAGAGAGAGAAAUAGAGAGAGAGUAGAAAGAGGAGAGGGGAAGGAAAAAAAAAAAAAAGAAGAAAGAAAACAAGGAAAAAAAAGGUCAUGAUCUAGGUCUGGUCCAUCCCACCAAGGUCAUGAUCUUUUCAUCUUCAUAGAACAAUUACAGACAGGAUUUUGAAAUCCAAAACAGGGGGUUGGGUUAGAUUUUUUAAUUUUUUAUUCUUUUGCAAGAGAAAGUAGGGAAAAAGGGAAAAAGGAACAAUGGCGACGAAACGUUCUUUCACUCGUUUUGUAGAACAGGAGUUGGGAAAGUUCCCACAUUUCGUAGUUUGUGCAGUCCUUGAAUGGGUUCUCAUAAUUUUGCUUUUCAUUGAUGGGUUUGUUGCAUUUUUGGCAAGCGAAUUCGCCAAGUUCUUUGAAUUGCGAGUUCCUUGUUUGUUCUGCACCAGAAUCGACCAUGUUUUUGUUAACAAAAAUGCAGAUUUCUACUACAACAAUGCCAUUUGUGAAAGCCACAAGAAGGAUGUUUCAUCUCUUGCAUAUUGCCACAACCACAAGAAACUCUCUGACAUUCGGAAGAUGUGUGAGGUCUGUCUUCUCUCAUUCGCAACCGAGAAGGAAUCCGAUUGCAAUACCUACAAGUCGCUCGUUGGAAUAUUGCACAAGGAUCUUGAAUGUUUUGUGGAGGACGAUAAUUGUCAAGUUGUGAGCUUGCCGCCCGUGGGGAAGAAAGAUGAAGGCCUGCAAAUGGAGAAAGUGGGUGGUGGUGGUGAUGAUUGUUGUUGUUCAUGUUGUGGGGAGUCAUUGAAGGUUAAAUCCUCCAAUUCAAAAGGGAAAAAUGGGAGUACCUUUUCACAAGCUCCUGCUCCUUCGCCACGAGCUGGGUUUGUGCCUGCUUUCAGAAACGAGGACAAAACUAGCUUGGAAUUGCCCCACGUUAAUUAUACCGAACUCAAAUUGUUGUCAGAUAGUGAAUCGGAGUUCGUCGAAGACGAUGAAGGUUUACAUGGAAGAAAUCUUGACGCUCAUCAAUUUAAGGAGGAUGUGAAACCUGUUAAAGUGCCAUUGUUACCUGAACCUGAGGAUGUGCAUGAAAGUUCGAGGACCCCCAUCUUUGGUAGAGGAAACAAAUUUUUUGGUAUCCCACUUACGGAUUCUGAUAAUACCAGUCCCAGAUGGGCUAUUAGGAUCUCUAGAAAAUCACCACUUGAAAGACCAGAGCUCCCAGCUGAGAAUUAUGAAGCAGAUAUGUUGGGGCCAGGAGACAAUGAUUCCAUUUUGAAUUGCUUGAAAAGACAAGUUCGGAUAGAUCGAAAAUCGCUCAUGGAGUUGUACAUGGAACUGGACGAAGAAAGAAGCGCUUCAGCCGUGGCAGCAAACAAUGCAAUGGCCAUGAUUACUCGCUUACAAGCCGAAAAGGCGGCCGUUCAGAUGGAAGCUUUGCAGUACCAAAGAAUGAUGGAAGAACAGGAAGAGUAUGACCAGGAAGCCUUACAAGCUACAAACGAUUUGCUUGCUAAGAGAGAGGAAGAAAUCAGGGACUUGGAGGUUGAACUUGAAGCUUACAGAGAAAAAUAUGGAUACCUUGAGGAAGGUUGUCUUCAGAUGUCUGAAGGAGAGAUGUCUGAUGAAGAUUACCAAGAAUUCAAGUCACAAGUCUAUUUAUCUUCUGAUGAGAAAUCUGAAUGUAAUACACCUUUUAGUCUCAAUGGAAGAGAGAACAAGGAAAAUUUUAAGAAUUUUGACAGGACGAUUAUACCCUCCGGGUUGAAAAUUGAAAGAGAAAAUAGCAAAGAAGAAAGUACAAACAAUCAUGGGGUAGCCUUGCCAUUCUCCCAAGAGGAGGCUGAAGGAGAAGAUAGCAAAGAAGAAAGUACAAACAAUCAUGAGGUAGCCCUGCCAUUCUCCCAAGGGAAGUCUGAAGGAGAAGAUAGCAAAGAAGAAAGUAUAAACAAUCAUGGGGUAACCCUGCCAUUCUCCCAAGGGAAGGCUGAAGGAGAAGAUAGCAAAGAAGAAAGUACAAACAAUCAUGGGGUACAAGGAGAAGAUAGCAAAGAAGAAGGUACAAACAAUCAUGGGGUAGCCCUGACAUUCUCCCAAGGGGAGGCUGAAGGAGAAGAUAGCAAAGAAGAAAGUACAAUCAAUCAUGGGGUGGCCCUGCCAUUCUCCCAAGGGAAGGCUGAAGGAGAAGAUAGCAAAGAAGAAAGUACAAACAAUCAUGGGGUAGCCUUGCCAUCCCAAGGGAAGGCUGAAGGAGAAGAUAGCAAAGAAGAAAGUACAAACAAUCAUGGGGUAGCUUUGCCAUCCAAAGGGAAGGCUGAAGGAGAAGAUAGCAAAGAAGAAAGUACAAACAAUCAUGGGGUAGCUUUGUCAUCCAAAGGGAAGGCUGAAGGAGAAGAUAGCAAAGAAGAAAGUACAAACAAUCAUGGGGUAGCCCUGCCAUUCUCCCAAGGGAAGGCUGAAGGAGAAGAUAGCAAAGAAGAAAGUACAAACAAUCAUGGGGUAGCUCUGCCAUUCUCCCAGGGGAAGGCUGAAGGAGAAGAUAGCAAAGAGGUUAGUACAAACAAUCAUGGGGUAGCCUUGCCAUUCUCCCGAGGGAAGGCUGAAGGAGAAGACCAAAAUGAACCACUGACAAACUUUAAAGGAGAAAAAACAUAUCUUUUAGGCCGCUUGAAAAGGUCAAAGAAGAACAUUAACUCCUUAUCCUCAGAGGAUCUAGCUUCGUCCCUGCAACCAAGAUCUGCCAGUGUCAACCGAGUAGAUGAAGCCACAGGAAAAGGAAGAGCUCUGACCCGAAAGCUCUCUCAUCUUAACGAGUUCAAGAUCAUGAGAGUACUCAAAGCAGACAACGAAAUCUCCAAGCAUGAAGGAAAAGUAUCUUUAGCCGAGACUUCUCACAAUUUAGGGAAACCUCAAAACCUUGUCGACCAGAAUAACAGUGAUUCUUAACUUCCCAUAUUGUUUGUUUUAUUUCUAGGAUGUACAUAGUGUUGUAUGACGCGCUGAAUAUAGAUAUAAAGCUCCUUGAAGCUCAGCAGCUGCUAACUUCUUCCAUAGCAAUGCAGAGCUAAAAACCAUAUUCGGCUGCCAGCGAUGGGUGUAGAAGGCUUUCCUUUUUCUUUUCUAUUACUUUACUAUUCAGCAGCAGAGUGGAAAUGGUGUUCAAGAAAGUGCUUUUGGAUUUACACAUCAAAAGCCACAGAACAAGGGAAAGAAAAAAGGCCAAUAUUCCUUCUUUUUGAGGGCAUAGUUGGACUAAUGAUAGAACCUCAAGGGAAAACCAGAAAAGGCAAGGCGUUCGGGCUUCCAUCCCAUUUACAACGAGACAAAUGUUAGCGUUGUAUGAUACAAGAAGAGUUCUUUAAAGUCAUAAUCAUCCCCUCCCCCUUAAAUGUCUUUUCGAGUUUACUAAAAUGACAGCAAUAUGCAAGGAAUUUUGAUUGGUUUCAUCCCAUUUACUACUUCAAAACUUGGAGAGGGAAGACGCCAGUCCUUUUUAAACGCAAAGAGAUAUCUUUUUCUUUGUCA